GAUGAACGCUGGCGGCGUGCCUAAUACAUGCAAGUCGAGCGAACAGACGAGGAUCUUGCUCCUCUGACGUUAGCGGCGGACGGGUGAGUAACACGUGGAUAACCUACCUAUAAGACUGGGAUAACUUCGGGAAACCGGAGCUAAUACCGGAUAAUAUAUUGAACCGCAUGGUUCAAUAGUGAAAGACGGUUUUGCUGUCACUUAUAGAUGGAUCCGCGCCGCAUUAGCUAGUUGGUAAGGUAACGGCUUACCAAGGCGACGAUGCGUAGCCGACCUGAGAGGGUGAUCGGCCACACUGGAACUGAGACACGGUCCAGACUCCUACGGGAGGCAGCAGUAGGGAAUCUUACGCAAUGGGCGAAAGCCUGACGGAGCAACGCCGCGUGAGUGAUGAAGGUCUUCGGAUCGUAAAACUCUGUUAUUAGGGAAGAACAAAUGUGUAAGUAACUAUGCACGUCUUGACGGUACCUAAUCAGAAAGCCACGGCUAACUACGUG
rnacentral:rRNA from 1 species